GGGGGAGUGUUGAACUGAAGAGAAGAUGGAGCUUGUACAAUAAUAGGGCAAGCUCUAGAAGAUGUCAAGAAGAGUUCAAUCAAGCUUCAGAGGUGUUCUGAAGUAGUUAUCUUGUGAAGUUAAGUCUAGGAAAGACUUAGACUGAUCAUGUGAAGGCUUUGGAGGAGUUAGAGAGAAGAUGGUCCAAGGUGCAAUUAUAGGGCGGCCUUGUACGGCCUGGUACGGCCAAGGGUGAACCAAAGGAGAUGGUGGAUCGACCAAAGAAGUGAGAAAGAGUGAGUUAUCUUGUGAAGAUAAGUCCAGGAGGGACUUAGACUGAUCAGAAGAAGGAGGAAGAGUGUUGGGCAAAUAUAGGGCGAGUGGUACGGACAGGAGGUCCAUACCAUCGACCGCACUGCCAAUCAUCUCGCCCACACAUCCGGUUUAAGCAAUGUUGAAGAAGUGCAAAGUCUGGGCGUGCUUAUCUUGGCUAUGAGGACCGUUGGGAGCUAAAGGAAACAAAGGGAAUAUCCCUUAGGAUCAGAGUGGUCCAAGAGAC
rnacentral:lncRNA from 1 species